UACGUAGGUGACAAGCGUUGUCCGGAUUUACUGGGCGUAAAGAGCGCGCAGGCGGUCGAUCAAGUCGAGUGUGAAAGCCCCCGGCUCAACUGGGGAGGGUCAUUCGAUACUGAUCGACUCGAAGGCAGGAGAGGGUAGUGGAAUUCCCGGUGUAGUGGUGAAAUGCGUAGAUAUCGGGAGGAACACCAGUGGCGAAGGCAACUACCUGGCCUGUUCUUGACGCUGAGGCGCGAAAGCUAGGGGAGCAAACGGG
rnacentral:rRNA from 1 species